GGGAAGUCCUGUGGCAGUGGAGUCGUCAGCAUUAAUUCAAAUAAGAUCUCUCCCUGCACACAAUCUGCUUUCGUGUUCCUGAUGGAUUGAAUCAAGAGUGAAUGAGCUCUUCCUUCGCGAAAGCAAAACAAACUAAACGCAUCAACCGCGACCGCAGAGCCCCCAUCUCUCCCAGGAGGGUGAGCCCACGUUGUGUUUUCAUUUGUCAGAAAUCUAUCUUAGGAAGCCAUUCCUGAGAUCUGUUCUAAUUUAGGCCAUUUUUAAAAAAAAUAAUGCAGUUGAUUCUUUUCCUGUGA
rnacentral:lncRNA from 1 species